GAUGAACGCUAGCGGCAGGCUUAAUACAUGCAAGUCGAGGGGCAACAGGGGUAGCAAUACCUGCUGGCGACCGGCAAACGGGUGCGGAACACGUACAGAACCUUCCUUUAAGCGGGGGAUAGCCCAUAGAAAUGUGGAUUAAUACCCCACUAGUAAUAUUGACUGGCAUCAGUUGGUAUUUAAAGAUUUAUUCACUUAAAGAUGGCUGUGCGGCUGAUUAGGUAGUUGGUGCGGGUAACGGCCCACCAAGCCAGCGAUCAGUAACUGGUGUGAGAGCACGACCAGUCACACGGGCACUGAGACACGGGCCCGACUCCUACGGGAGGCAGCAGUAAGGAAUAUUGGUCAAUGGACGCAAGUCUGAACCAGCCAUGCCGCGUGAAGGAUGAAGGCCCUCUGGGUUGUAAACUUCUUUUAUC
rnacentral:rRNA from 1 species